AAUGAACGUUGGCGGCAUGGAUUAGGCAUGCAAGUCGGGGGAAUCCCAGCAAUGGGGGAACCGGCGUAAGGGGCAGUAAGGCAUGGGUACCUACCUUGGGGUUCGGGAUAGCCAUCAGAGAUGGUGGGUAAUACCGGAUGACGUCGUGAGACCAAAGAUUUAUCGCCCUUAGAGGGGCCCAUGUGAUAUUAGCUAGUUGGUGGGGUAACGGCCCACCAAGGCGAAGAUGUCUAGCGGGUGUGAGAGCACGACCCGCGCCACUCGCACUGAGACACUGGCGAGACACCUACGGGUGGCUGUAGUCGAGGAUCUUCGGCAAUGAGCGCAAGCUUGACCGAGCGAUGCCGCGUGAGCGAUGAAGGCCUUCGGGUCGUAAAGCUCUUUAGUGGGGGAGAAAAGCCGCAAGGUGUGAUCUAUCCCAAAAAUAAGCACGGGCUAAGUUCGUGCCAGCCGCCGCGUAA
rnacentral:rRNA from 1 species